rnacentral:rRNA from 1 species
GAUGAACGCUGGCGGCGUGCCUAAUACAUGCAAGUCGAGCGAACAGAUGAGGAGCUUGCUCCUCUGACGUUAACGGCGGACGGGUGAGUAACACGUGGAUAACCUACCUAUAAGACUGGGAUAACUUCGGGAAACCGGAGCUAAUACCGGAUAAUAUAUUGAACCGCACGGUUCAAUAGUGAAAGACGGUUUUGCUGUCACUUAUAGAUGGAUCCGCGCCGCAUUAGCUAGUUGGUAAGGUAACGGCUUACCAAGGCAACGAUGCGUAGCCGACCUGAGAGGGUGAUCGGCCACACUGGAACUGAGACACGGUCCAGACUCCUACGGGAGGCAGCAGUAGGGAAUCUUCCGCAAUGGGCGAAAGCUUGACGGAGCAACGCCGCGUGAGUGAUGAAGGUCUUCGGAUCGUAAAACUCUGUUAUUAGGGAAGAACAAAUGUGUAAGUAACUAUGCACGUCUUGACGGUACCUAAUCAGAAAGCCACGGCUAACUACGUG